ACUCAAAUGAAUUGACGGGGGCCCGCACAAGCGGUGGAGCAUGUGGUUUAAUUCGAUGCAACGCGAAGAACCUUACCUACUCUUGACAUCCAGAGAAUCUAGCGGAGACGCUGGAGUGCCUUCGGGAGCUCUGAGACAGGUGCUGCAUGGCUGUCGUCAGCUCGUGUUGUGAAAUGUUGGGUUAAGUCCCGCAACGAGCGCAACCCUUAUCCUUGUUUGCCAGCGAGUAAUGUCGGGAACUCCAGGGAGACUGCCGGUGAUAAACCGGAGGAAGGUGGGGACGACGUCAAGUCAUCAUGGCCCUUACGAGUAGGGCUACACACGUGCUACAAUGGCGCAUACAGAGGGCGGCCAACUUGCGAAAGUGAGCGAAUCCCAAAAAGUGCGUCGUAGUCCGGAUUGGAGUCUGCAACUCGACUCCAUGAAGUCGGAAUCGCUAGUAAUCGUGGAUCAGAAUGCCACGGUGAAUACGUUCCCGGGCCUUGUACACACCGCCCGUCACACCAUGGGAGUGGGCUGCAAAAGAAGUGGGUAGUUUAACCUUCGGGAGGACGCUCACCACUUUGUGGUUCAUGACUGGGGUGAAGUCGUAACAAGGUAGCGCUAGGGGAACCUGGCGCUGGAUCACCUCCUUAUACGAUGAU
rnacentral:rRNA from 1 species